AAGGGUAACAAAGGCAGCAGAAAAGGCAAGGAACUGGAAGGAGCUGGCCCAAGUGGACCAGCGCUGCAUGAUUUCAGCCAGUGUUGAAUUACGGAGGAGUCACAAUCUAACGUGUGAUUUGUGCUGACAGGAAGAGCUGCGCAGAGCUGCCAGCGCUUUUAUUGUGCAGAGGCUGCAGGGUGAGGAUGGUGUGCGCUUGCAGGGUACGUGCCUGACUGUACUGGACUGCACAGGCUGCCUCCAAACACACCGAGCUGCAGGGCAAUGGAAGGCUGGCACCAAGCAUCCCACCACCUCUCAUGACAACCGAUGGUCAGGCUCAGAGCUGCUGCAAACGUCACCUCCUGCUUCAUGCAGACACAAAGGCAAAAGAGUCCCAGUCGUGAAGCAAUCUGUGCUGUGCUAGGGACGAGGGGGAUGCUUUGUUCAGAGCAGCCAGGUCCUUGUGAUUAGAAAUGAGCUCGAUUUGGCAGGAAGCACUGAGGAAGGCUGGCAGAGAGGCAGCGUGGUCCUUGCAUGCGAGAUUUCUCCAGAAGUAAAGAAGCACUGGUGGAGACAGUGCAACCCCUGGCAAGAAGCAGCAACGCUGUGCAACAAAGGAAGGAGCCACUUCCAGGCUGUGAAAACAUGCUGUUGAACUGAAUUUUGCAGCUGGGUUUUCAAAUGUAC